UACGUAGGGGGCUAGCGUUGUCCGGAAUCAUUGGGCGUAAAGCGCGUGUAGGCGGUCCGGUAAGUCCGCUGUGAAAGUCGGGGGCUCAACCCUCGGAUGCCGGUGGAUACUGUCGGGCUUGAGUACGGAGGAGGCGAGUGGAAUUCCAGGUGUAGCGGUGAAAUGCGUAGAUAUCUGGAGGAACACCGGUGGCGAAGGCGGCAUCCUGGACCGGUAUUGACGCUGAGGAGCGAAAGCGUGGGGAGCGAACAGG
rnacentral:rRNA from 1 species